AGUGAACGCUGGCGGUAGGCCUAACACAUGCAAGUCGAACGGCAGCACAGUAAGAGCUUGCUCUUACGGGUGGCGAGUGGCGGACGGGUGAGGAAUACAUCGGAAUCUACUUUUUCGUGGGGGAUAACGUAGGGAAACUUACGCUAAUACCGCAUACGACCUACGGGUGAAAGCAGGGGAUCUUCGGACCUUGCGCGAUUGAAUGAGCCGAUGUCGGAUUAGCUAGUUGGCGGGGUAAAGGCCCACCAAGGCGACGAUCCGUAGCCGGUCUGAGAGGAUGAUCAGCCACACGGGAACUGAGACACGGUCCAGACUCCUACGGGAGGCAGCAGUGGGGAAUAUUGGACAAUGGGCGCAAGCCUGAUCCAGCCAUACCGCGUGGGUGAAGAAGGCCUUCGGGUUGUAAAGCCCUUUUGUUGGGAAAGAAAAGCAGCAGGUUAAGACCCCGCUGUUCUGACGGUACCCAAAGAAUAAGCACCGGCUAACUUCGUG
rnacentral:rRNA from 1 species